GACGAACGCUGGCGGCGUGCCUAAUACAUGCAAGUUGAGCGCUGAAGGUUGGUACUUGUACCAACUGGAUGAGCAGCGAACGGGUGAGUAACGCGUGGGGAAUCUGCCUUUGAGCGGGGACAACAUUUGGAAACGAAUGCUAAUACCGCAUAAAAACUUUAAACACAAGUUUUAAGUUUGAAAGAUGCAAUUGCAUCACUCAAAGAUGAUCCCGCGUUGUAUUAGCUAGUUGGUGAGGUAAAGGCUCACCAAGGCGAUGAUACAUAGCCGACCUGAGAGGGUGAUCGGCCACAUUGGGACUGAGACACGGCCCAAACUCCUACGGGAGGCAGCAGUAGGGAAUCUUCGGCAAUAGACGAAAGUCUGACCGAGCAACGCCGCGUGAGUGAAGAAGGUUUUCGGAUCGUAAAACUCUGUUGGUAGAGAAGAACGUUGGUGAGAGUGGAAAGCUCAUCAAGUGACGGUAACUACCCAGAAAGGGACGGCUAACUACGUG
rnacentral:rRNA from 1 species